GAGAAGUCGUCUCCAUCAUCUUCAUCCUCCACGCCGCUAUCUAUCUUCUUUCGCAUGGUUGCAUCUGCUUCCUCUUCUUGUUCGCUCGUCUCGGGUUGAUCUGCGAUUUCAGAUCUUGUUCUUUCCGUUUGGUUUUUCCUUUGCCAGGAUCUAAAUGCAGACUGGAUUGUGGAUUGAAAAUUGCGGCUGAAGAACGUGAACAUUGAAUGCAGACUGCUACAUUCGCACUGUUUUGUAUCAGUCCGUUAAUUCUACAAUAUUUAGCUGUUUAGUAAUUAAACAAUGGUCCUGUCAUCUUUUGUAACCUGUUAAGAUUGAUAUUGAAUAAAUCAUAUUUGCGUAUUUUAACCUA